rnacentral:rRNA from 1 species
UACGUAGGUGACAAGCGUUGUCCGGAUUUACUGGGCGUAAAGAGCGCGCAGGCGGUCGAUCAAGUCGAGUGUGAAAGCCCCCGGCUCAACUGGGGAGGGUCAUUCGAUACUGAUCGACUCGAAGGCAGGAGAGGGUAGUGGAAUUCCCGGUGUAGUGGUGAAAUGCGUAGAGAUCGGGAGGAACACCGGUGGCGAAGGCGGCCUUCUGGACGGUGACUGACGCUGAGGCGCGAAAGCGUGGGGAGCAAACGGG